AGUCGGCAUCCCAGAAGGAAGAUUCUGGGCGGAUGGGCAUCGGGGAAGGUAGUCCCAACCAAUGGGACCGUUUCUGAGCACAUAAGCGCAUUCAGUGGGUGCUAACAAGCGCCUGCUUUGCCAGGCGACAGUGAGCAAAACCGGCUUUGUUCCCGGCCACCGGAAGCUUCGAGGCUGGGGUUCCGGAUCUGGGCGCCCAAUGACAAACUAAGCGCGGAGGACAGGGCCAGGAGCGCCCACCAGGGCGGCGAUCUGGUGGGUAGGUGCAGGGCAAUGGCUGGAAAGGGUCCCCGAAGCCCUGAGCAGAGACCAAAGGGCCGUGCGACUGCAGGAAGGCCAUUUUGCUUGGCUGACAGGCGGAAAACUCACGUGGCUGGAGUAGCAGGGUUGGUGACGACAAGGGUGAAUCCCACUAAGCAUUGCAACUGUUUGCGGUGUGAGGGGUGAGGGGGAUUCUCAUCAUUCUCAGAAUUGCUGUGGAUAAAGGGUUUUGGGUUGGAGAGAGACUGGGUGCACUCAAAGGACUGAAAGAUGGCGACGACACAUUCCCUCAGAGGAUUUACAUUCUGGAAGGGUGGGGACAGG
rnacentral:lncRNA from 1 species